rnacentral:rRNA from 1 species
UCCGAAUGGGGAAACCCACUGCUUCGGCAGUAUCCUGCAGUGAAUUCAUAGCUGCUGGAAGCGAACCCGGUGAACUGAAAUAUCUAAGUAACCGGAGGAAAAGAAAUCAACCGAGAUUCCCUAAGUAGUGACGAGCGAACGGGGAGCAGCCCUUAAGCUGGAAUGGCUUUAGAAAAACAAUCUGGAAAGAUUGGCCAUAGAAGGUGAUAGCCCUGUAUUUAAAAGGGCCACUCCAGUGAAGACGAGUAGGGCGGGGCACGUGAAACCCUGUCUGAAUAUGGGGGGACCAUCCUCCAAGGCUAAAUACUCCUGACCGACCGAUAGUGAACCAGUACCGUGAGGGAAAGGCGAAAAGAACCCCGGAGAGGGGAGUGAAAUAGAUCCUGAAACCGUGUGCGUACAAGCAGUAGGAGCUCGCAAGAGUGACUGCGUACCUUUUGUAUAAUGGGUCAGCGACUUACUGUUCGUGGCAAGCUUAACCGUAUAGGGGAGGCGAAGGGAAACCGAGUCUGAUAAGGGCGCAUAGUCGCGGGCAGUAGACCCGAAACCGGGUGAUCUAGUCAUGGCCAGGGUGAAGGUGCCGUAACAGGUACUGGAGGCCCGAACCCACGUCUGUUGCAAAAGACGGGGAUGAGCUGUGAUUAGGAGUGAAAAGCUAAUCGAACCCGGAGAUAGCUGGUUCUCCUCGAAAGCUAUUUAGGUAGCGCCUCAUAUGUAUCCUCUCGGGGGUAGAGCACUGUUAUGGCUAGGGGGUCAUCGCGACUUACCAAACCAUUGCAAACUCCGAAUACCGAGACGGACUGUAUGGGAGACACACGGCGGGUGCUAACGUCCGUCGUGAAAAGGGAAACAACCCAGACCCACAGCUAAGGUCCCAAAUUCACUGCUAAGUGGAAAACGAUGUGGAAAGGCAUAGACAGCCAGGAGGUUGGCUUAGAAGCAGCCACCCUUUAAAGAAAGCGUAAUAGCUCACUGGUCGAGUCGGUCUGCGCGGAAGAUUUAACGGGGCUAAGCAGUGAACCGAAGCUUGGGGUGCAUAAAACUUGUUUUAUGCGCGGUAGAGGAGCGUUCCGUAAGCCUGCGAAGGUGGAUUGAGAAGUCUGCUGGAGGUAUCGGAAGUGCGAAUGCUGACAUGAGUAACGAUAAUGCGGGUGAAAAGCCCGCACGCCGAAAGCCCAAGGUUUCCUUGCGCAACGUUAAUCGACGCAGGGUUAGUCGGUCCCUAAGGCGAGGGCGAAAGCUGUAGUCGAUGGGAAGCAGGUUAAUAUUCCUGCACCUCGCGUGAGUGCGAUGGAGGGACGGAGAAGGUUAGGUGUACCGGGCGUUGGUUGUCCCGGGGAAAGGCGGUAGGUUUGGAUCUUUGGCAAAUCCGGGAUCCUUUAAGACCGAGCACCGAGACGAGCCUUUAUGGCGAAGUCACUGAUACCACGCUUCCAGGAAAAGCUCCUAAGCUUCAGCUCACGAAGACCGUACCGUAAACCGACACAGGUGGGUAGGAUGAGAAUUCUCAGGCGCUUGAGAGAACUCGGGUGAAGGAACUAGGCAACAUGGCACCGUAACUUCGGGAGAAGGUGCACCCUUUUUGGUGGCUCGUGCGAGCUAUAGCUGAAGAGGGUCGCAGAAACCAGGCCGCUGCGACUGUUUAUCAAAAACACAGCACUCUGCAAACACGAAAGUGGACGUAUAGGGUGUGACGCCUGCCCGGUGCUGGAAGGUUAAUUGAUGGGGUCAGCCGCAAGGCGAAGCUCUUGAUCGAAGCCCCAGUAAACGGCGGCCGUAACUAUAACGGUCCUAAGGUAGCGAAAUUCCUUGUCGGGUAAGUUCCGACCUGCACGAAUGGCGUAACGACAGCGGCGCUGUCUCCACCCGAGACUCAGUGAAAUUGAAAUCGCUGUGAAGAUGCAGCGUUCCCGUGGCAAGACGGAAAGACCCCGUGAACCUUUACUAUAGCUUUACACUGAACGUUGAGUUCGUCUGUGUAGGAUAGGUGGGAGGCUAUGAAACUGUGGCGCUAGCUGCAGUGGAGCCAUCCUUGAAAUACCACCCUGUCGUGCUUGACGUUCUAACCUAGGUCCGUUAUCCGGAUCAGGGACCGUGUAUGGUGGGUAGUUUGACUGGGGCGGUCUCCUCCUAAAGAGUAACGGAGGAGCACGAAGGUACGCUCAGCGCGGUCGGACAUCGCGCACUGUGUGCAAAGGCAUAAGCGUGCUUGACUGCAAGAUCGACGGAUCAAGCAGGUACGAAAGUAGGUCUUAGUGAUCCGGUGGUUCUGUAUGGAAGGGCCAUCGCUCAACGGAUAAAAGGUACUCCGGGGAUAACAGGCUGAUACCGCCCAAGAGUUCAUAUCGACGGCGGUGUUUGGCACCUCGAUGUCGGCUCAUCACAUCCUGGGGCUGUAGUCGGUCCCAAGGGUAUGGCUGUUCGCCAUUUAAAGUGGUACGCGAGCUGGGUUCAGAACGUCGUGAGACAGUUCGGUCCCUAUCUGCCAUGGGCGUUGGAAGUUUGAGAGGGGCUGCUCCUAGUACGAGAGGACCGGAGUGGACGAACCUCUGGUGUUCCGGUUGUCACGCCAGUGGCAUUGCCGGGUAGCUAUGUUCGGAAGCGAUAACCGCUGAAAGCAUCUAAGCGGGAAGCGCGCCUCAAGAUGAGACUUCCCGGGGCACAAGCCCCCUAAAGGAACCAUGUAGACUACGUGGUUGAUAGGUCAGGUGUGU